CAGCCCCACCAGCCAAUGGGUGACAUCCAACCCUGUGAUCACAGCCCCACCAGCCAAUGGGUGACAUACAACCCUGUGAUCACAGCCCCACCAGCCAAUGGGUGACAUACAACCCUGUGAACACAGCCCCACCAGCCAAUGGGUGACAUCCAACCCUGUGAACACAGUCCACCAGCCAAUGGGUGACAUACAACCCUGUGAUCACAGCCCCACCAGCCAAUGGGUGACAUCCAACCCUGUGAUCACAGCCCCACCUGCCAAUGGGUGACAUACAACCCUGUGAACAGCAACUUUGACUCUGAGCCUUAGGGCUGAAUCCUCAAGUUCCAUCGGGGACAGGAGCUGGGAGUGGGGUUAAACAAACAGAAACCUUUAAUACAUACGUUAAUUGCCAAUAUUAAUGUACACAAUAAUUUAAACUGCUACAUAGAAUUUACAUUCCAGGAGUAUGUCAGCAUUUCCAUCAAACACUUACUAAUUGGCUAUUUCAACUGUUUUUGUUUUUCUCUCAUAACGGUAAUGCCAUCUCAUUUUCACACAUAUACUCUUAAAUUAUUAUUAUUAUUCCCUGAGCAUAAUGUUGUGAAAUGAAAGUGUAAAACCCAAGUGCCACAGGGUUUUGUCCUGUCACUGGAGGUCCCUCUAGGAGAGCUGCAUCCACCUGCCUUCCCAUCAGUGACCUAUAGCUGCAGGUCGUUCAAUGUAAGCAUUUUCCAAAUAAUAGAAUUUUAGUUUUUCAGAGUGCAUGUGUCCAGCUAUAAAUAAACAAGCAAUAACUAAAUGAUUCUUCUGCCGCCUCAUGCCAGAAUAUUCUUGGAUCCCAAGGAAACAAACUAAACCCAGACUUCAACCUUACAGGCUGCAUGAUUCUUCGUGUGUACAUGUGUGCAUGUGUGUGUGCGCGUGUGCAUAUGCGUGCUUGUGUUUGUGCUCAUGUGUGUGUGUCUCUGUGUGUGUGUCUCUGUGUGUGUCUCUGUGUGUGUGUCUCUGUGUGUGUGUGUCUGUCUGUCUGUCUCUGUGUGUGUGUCUCUGUGUGUGUGUGUGUGUGUGUCUCUGUGUGUGUCUCUGUGUGUGUGUCUCUGUGUGUGUGUGUUUGUGUGUAUCUGUCUGUCUGUCUCUGUGUGUGUGUGUGUGUGUGUCUGUGUGUGUGUGUCUCUGUGUGUGUGUCUGUCUGUCUGUCUCUGUGUGUGUGUCUCUGUGUGUAUGUCUCUCUGUGUGUGUGUGUGUGUGUGGGUGCAUGUGUGUGGUCUUGGGAUCACACCCAGGACCCCCUGGCUAGGCAGGCACUCUACCACUGAGCUUCACCCCAGCCCCUCACAAACACUUUUCUGAUAGGGAAGAAGCCAUAGUUCUUGUUUGUCUGGCACUGGUUUUGAACUCGUGAUCCUCCUGCCUCCACCUCCCACAUACUAGGCUGUGUCAGCACCCCUCCCUGUGACAAAGGUCCACUGGUCAUAUUCUCAGAAGCCUUAGUCCUCUCUGUUGAGGCUUGCUUCCUGUUCUUGUCAGCCUUGUAUUUUGGACCCUGCCUUUAUCUUGAAUUACUUGAAUGUAUUUUGGAUUUAUUUAUAUCCCAGGAAGCAUCCAGAUUUUUCUGUUGAUGUCCAUGUAGCUUAGCUGUGGAGCUAUAGUUUCUGUUUUCCUCCUUUGUGGGCUACCAUGAACCCAUCUGGAUCAGACCACUCACACAACUUACCAAGAUAACUGGCUUCUGUUAUUUAUCAAUGCACAGUGGCCCCAGGGCCAUGGUAUACAUAGUUCUACUGGGAUGCAAACUUGCUCCUUUGUGAAUGUAUUGUCUGUGGCUGCUUUGCUGACUCGACAGGGGUGUUGAACUAUAAAAUAUUUUCUGUCUGUGCCUGUCAUAGAGAAGUAAGCUGUCUAUGCUCUUAGGCUGACUAGCCUUGAAGUUCUGGGAGAUGACCUUGGAUUUCCCCCAGUCCCGAGCUCCCUGACUUCAGAGAGUGGGGCUUUGGUCUGCUAGGUAUCUCUUUAUCUAGUUCCUGCCACACCUCUUACUCAAAGAAAUCACUCAGUCCCCUCGGUCUUAGUUACUGUUCUAGUGCUGUGAUAAAACCACAACCAGGGCAACUUUUACAGGGAUUAUUUAAUUGGGAAUUGCUCACAGUUUCAGAGGGCAUGGAGCAUGGUGCCUGGCAGGUAGGUAUGGUGCUGUAGCUGUAGCUGUAGCUGUAGCUGUAAUUGAGAGCUCACAUUCGAUCCACAAGCACAUGGCAGAAACAGAGCAAGACAGCCUGGUGUGAGCGUUUGAAAACCUCAAAGGCCACCCACAGUGAUGUAGCUUCUCCAACAAGACCACACCUCCUGAUCCUCCCCAAAUAGUUCCACUGAUUGGGAACCAAGUGAAAGGUUCAGGCAUUAUGCUGGCCUGCCCCUGUUACCUGGUGGAAUCCACUCAGGCAAUACCCUGGUCAGCCCAAGGUUCCAUGGGAAAGAAGUCUGCACGCAGGUGCAGAGGACCCCUUUAAAAGAUAGGCUCUCUGCCCCUUUACGCUCGCGCUCUUUCUCUCUCUCUCCCCCUGUUCCUGCUCUCUGUCCCCUCUCUCUGUUUCCCCGCUCUGUCUCUCUAUGGCGACCGGCCAUGGUGGUCAGCCAUUACCCUGUUCCUCUUCUUAGUCUACCCAUUCUGCCUUAUAAUAAACUUAUAGUCAAUAUGUCUGUCUCAAUAUUUCUCUUUUCUUCUUUUUAAACAAAAGAAUAACAUUUUGGCGCCCAACGUGGAAAGGCUCUGCCCUUAUACCUUCUGCGACCUGCUGGCGGGCGCAUGUUAGGCUAAGGGUAACCUUACAAUCCACUUCCAUCUCCGCUUUUCCUGGCACUCCCUCCUGCCUGCAACAGCCUGAGAUGCCGGAACUCAACUUGCGGCUUUUCCAACUAAGUAUUUCUGGAACUCACUGAUCUGCCUAUUCGCUACAAUCCGGUCGCAAGUUAUCAGCAAGAAGGCAGGUGUCCUGCAGCCCACUACUAUGGAUGGAGCACCUUGGGGAUGGCUGUCCAUGCAGCCUGCUGGAUUCUUGUAAGUUCCAGGGAGCCGAAACAGAUCCAAACAGGUCAGGUUCACUCCAGGUAAUAUUCAACCUUUCCCCGGUCCCAAAUUCCCUUCACUCAUCUUGGGACACCUCGGGAACCCCUCCCUCAUCUUACAAUCUUCCCCUCAAGUCACAGGACCUAAGAAAAAAUUUUUUUUCUAAACUCAACCUUGUCUUCUGCUCUGUCAACAUCUUGCCAGGUCUAAGAGGCGCCAGGGAGUUCCAUACAGCCUGGACUACAAUGAAACAACCAGCUUCCCCAGGACGUGGCAACACCCCAACCUUCUCGGGUCCCCCAAAGAUGGUCAACGCCCCCACGUCAGCAGGAAGCAGUAUCAAGAAUUCGACGCCCUUAUUCCUUAACCUGCCAUGUCUAAACACCACACCUUUUUAAAUAAUAAGUAGAGGUGGGAAUGAAAGGUUCAGGCAUUAUGCUGGCCUGCCCCUGUUACCUGGUGGAAUCCACUCAGGCAAUACCCUGGUCAGCCCAAGGUUCCAUGGGAAAGAAGUCUGCACGCAGGUGCAGAGGACCCCUUUAAAAGAUAGGCUCUCUGCCCCUUUACGCUCGUGCUCUUUCUCUCUCUCCCCCUGUUCCUGUCUCUCUCACUCUCUCUCUCUCUCUCUCUCUCUCUCUCUCUCUCUCUCUCUCUCUCUCUCUCUCUCUCCCCCUGUCUCUCUCUCUGUGUGUGUGCUCUCCCGUCUCUGUUUCCCCGCUCUGUCUCUCUAUGGCGACCGGCCAUGGCGGUCAGCCAUUACCCCUGUUCCUCUUCUUAGUCUACCCAUUCUACC
rnacentral:lncRNA from 1 species